CCUCGCGCCACCGCCGCCCGCCUCAGCCCAACAUGGCGAUGCACAACAAGGCGGCGCCGCCGCAGAUUCCGGACACCCGGCGGGAGCUGGCCGAGCUGGUGAAGCGGAAGCAGGAGCUGGCGGAAACACUGGCAAACUUGGAAAGACAGAUCUAUGCUUUUGAAGGAAGCUACCUGGAAGACACUCAGAUGUAUGGCAAUAUUAUUCGUGGCUGGGAUCGGUAUCUGACCAACCAGAAAAACUCCAAUAGCAAGAACGAUCGAAGGAACCGAAAGUUUAAGGAAGCUGAGCGGCUCUUCAGUAAAUCGUCCGUUACUUCAGCAGCUGCAGUAAGUGCAUUGGCAGGAGUUCAGGACCAGCUCAUUGAAAAGAGGGAGCCAGGAAGUGGGACAGAAAGUGAUACCUCUCCAGACUUCCACAAUCAGGAAAACGAGCCCAGCCGGGAGGACCCUGAGGAUCUGGAUGGAUCUGUGCAGGGAGUGAAACCUCAGAAGGCUGCUUCUUCCACUUGCUCAGGGGGUCAUCACAGCAGCCAUAAAAAACGAAAGAAUAAAAACCGGCACAGCCCGUCUGGCAUGUUUGAUUAUGACUUUGAGUAUGUAUAUUAGGUUAGGCUGGGAAGUUUUUUUUAAAAACAGAAAAACGUGAUGGAGGAUUGAUCUGAAGUUAAACAAAAAACCGCGAGCUGACUAUUAGAAGACUCAUUAGUACAGAAGCUUCCAGGCUGUAGAGCCCUGCUUCCCUUAUCCGACCUCACAAAGAUAAACGUCUCUCACCUGUGUGUGUGGCCGUCUACAUCUGCUUUCCUCGACCCAGUGCCUGUGACUCGGAGUAGUUUGUUACUGAAAUGUGGUGACAAAAAAAGUCAUUUCCGUAAGACCACAUCGGAUCAUUUACUUUGUGUCAUUUUUAGUAACAGAACUGCAGGAAGACCAAGACAUGGUUAUAAUCCCAGCAAGUUGCUAACUGCAUUUUCCCCUUCUUGGAAUGAAUGCUUCCCUCCAGAGUGGUUAGCAUCAACUUCAUCUGUGAUACCCAUCAGAAAUUUUGCUUCGUUUUAUGCUGAAAGCAGAACACAAGUUGCAUUUCAUAUGGAGGCUGUAAAUAUCUGGCAUUUUCUUUGUGUUUUAUUAUUUUUCUAUUGUUGUUUUUACCAUCUUAUUUUCUUUUGGGACUUUCUGUAAUGCCAUUGUACAGCUCGUACCUUCCUGCUGACAUAUCUGAUAAUCUGUUUUGUGAAGUUGCCAAUAUUCUUAACUGAAAAUAAUCUGGUUUACCAUAAAUAAAAAGGAGAACUUGGCUAUUUUGUGUUUUUGCAGGGGGAAGGUAAAGAGUGUUUAUUUAAUAAUUACCUAUCUUAAGUCUUUCUGAGUUGAAAGCAGUUUCGUGUUCAAGGAAUAGGAAUAGCUGAAAAACAUGAAUUUAAGUCAGUCCUUUUAAAGUAGAUACUUUUAUUCUUUUGUAUAAAUAAAAUUUUACAGGCUUUGAUUUCUCAUACUUUUAAAGCUGAGAUUGUUUUUCCAUUUAUUUUAUUUAUUCAUAUCAUGCCUUAUGGAAAUUUCUUUUUCCAUCUCUUCUCUCUUUGCUGGUAUUUACCUGAUUAAGUAUUGCUGUAAAAAUCACUAAAGCAUAUGGAAAGGCUCCAAAUUGUACAAAAAGCUGACCUGUACAGAUUUCUUGAGCAGAGUGAAAUGUCCCACAGACCCCUGUUCCUUACUGGGGUUGAUUAGGCCCAGGCCCUGCUGGUAAUUGUUACAUGCCUCUAGAGCAGUGGUGAUUUACCUUGGCUGCACUUUGGAAUCUCCAGAAAAACUUUAAAAAAUCCUGAUGCCUGGGUCCCUCCCAGGAGACUGGCUGGGGUACAGCCUAGUUCUUGGGAUUUUCUGUCAAAGAUUCCCUGGGAUUCUGAUACGAAGCCAAGUUAGAGCCACUGCAUUAGGGGACUGACUUAAAUCCUCUGUUGUGAAUUGGUCUAAGGGAUAAGUUUAGGGCUUCAUUUUCCCUUUGACUCUAAUUAGUCAUAGUCCUUUACUUAUGCCCAUAUCUUUGUUAGAAAAACUAUGUUCCAUUUGUGGUAAUAUUAGUAGAACUCACUAUGGAUGGCAGUCCAUUGUCACAACAAGUCUGCCUUGUCAGGUGGCACAAAGGCUUUCACUAUUCUUGUUCUCAAAUAAACUUUUUUUUUUUUUUUGACUCUGGCUAUUUAGAAGUCUUUGGUAGCAGAACUCAAUGUCAAGAGUUUUUAGGGAAAUGGUUUCUUAUAUUUAGAUUGUUCUUUAAAAAAAAAAAAAAAAGCAGCAAUGGAAACCCAAA